GAUGAAGAACGUAGCGAAAUGCGAUACGUAAUGUGAAUUGCAGAAUUCCGUGAAUCAUCGAAUCUUUGAACGCAUAUUGCGCCCUCUGGCAUUCCGGAGGGCAUGCCUGUCCGAGCGUCAUUACUAUCUUCAAGCACAGCUUGGUUGUUGAGCCAAAUUGUCCUCUAAUGGACAGGCUUGAAAUGCAGCGGCGAUGCCAUGUUUGGUGCCCGAGUGUAUGGGGCUUUGUCACACACUUUUGUGGCCCAGCUGGCGUUAGUCUUGACCGUUAAACUAAGAUUUGACCUCGAAUCAGGUAGGGAUACCCGCUGAACUUAAGCAUAUCAAUAAGCGGAGGA
rnacentral:misc_RNA from 1 species